rnacentral:rRNA from 1 species
UACGUAGGGCGCAAGCGUUAUCCGGAAUUAUUGGGCGUAAAGAGCUCGUAGGCGGUUUGUCGCGUCUGCCGUGAAAGUCCGGGGCUCAACUCCGGAUCUGCGGUGGGUACGGGCAGACUAGAGUGAUGUAGGGGAGACUGGAAUUCCUGGUGUAGCGGUGAAAUGCGCAGAUAUCAGGAGGAACACCGGUGGCGAAGGCGGGUCUCUGGGCCGUAACUGACGCUGAGGAGCGAAAGCAUAGGGAGCGAACAGG